AGUAAAUUCCAUCAACAUAUGAAUUUGGGGAUCAAAUUUCCAACACAGGAACUUUUGGAUGACACAUUCAAGCAACAGCUUAUGAUAUCCUGCCAUCCUCAAGCUUCCAGUUCAGGUAUCCAGGCCAGAGACAAAGGGCUCUCUGACUUGUUACUGCUUACCACCUGCCGCUCCCACAGCUGUGUGCAUCAACUCCGUGAAGACUCACAACAGCCCUGGGAGGCGGCUCUACAGUUUUAUCUUACUCAGAGACAAAGAAAGUGAACUAAGGAGAGAUUAAAUCACUCACUCAAGGUCAUAUGGCUAAUAAGUGAUGGUUAUGGUUUGAAUCAUAAAUGAACCCCAAAGCCACUGGUUGGUGAACAACUUUGCUUGUGCAACGUGCCCCUUCCAUGAUGUUCUGUCUUGACAACAUCCAAAAGCAACAGGCCAAACAACCACGGAUGAAACUCCUGUGAGACAAAAUCAACUUUUCCUCCUUACACAUGGAUUAUCUCAGUCAGUUCUCUCUGCCAGAGAAAGCCCAUUUAUCCUUUCAGGAGCGCUUCCCUGGUGCCACUUCUCCUGGGUUACACAAGAUACCUCUCCUCUGUGGCCUCAUGACACUCUGCUGCUGCUCUUGCCAAGAGAAUGGCAGCCAAUGUGACCAGCAGUGGGGUGAGCUAAGCAACGUACCGGAUAAUCAUAGGAGCGAUGGAGUCAGUCUGCUUGGAGUUGGCUUCGAAGGCAGCCUGUCUCUCAAGCACCAAGAGGUUACAAGUGACAGGAGGGCUUGUGCUCAGCCCAUCUAGUGACUCCAACUCCGAGGGCAGAAAUCGUGCCUAACCAUCUUCUGAGUCUAGCUCAGUACCUGGCGCACAGUAGGUGUGCAGCAAAUGCUAAGUAAAGGAGUGCAACGGAAACCUUCCCCCUAGGAUCCAGGCUGUUUGAGUCUAAGGACCGUGUAUUUUCUAACAGACGGGACCGUGAAGUGCUGGGCACAGAAGUGCUCACACACCUCUGCGGAAUAAAAGGUGUCACUAUUCCCAUUCUGCUCCCAAACUCAUCCGGACUCAAUGAACACCGCAACUGUCUUAUCACCAAUUCCUCCUGGCAGCUUCAGUUACUCUCUGCUCUGUUCAAGCCUCUGUAAACACG